UUGUAGUGGUAUUUACUUCAUUGUUAAAGCAUACUAGCAUGAUAAAUGAUGUGACAUGCAUUCCUUGCAUUUGAUGGCAUAGUAGAUAUAGUAGCAGUUUAUUUCCAUAUAUCUCUUUCUAUCUAUCUAUCUGUGCCAGCUUGGACCUAGUGGGAAGAUCGGCGGAGUCGGCGGCCGAACCCACUGGGAACUAUAUUUAUAUAGUUCUCACCCCGUGUGGUUUUGGGGUACAGGUGCACACGAGAGCGGACCGGCAGAUGAUCGCGGCAAGGGCUUAUUGCCCUAGUGCUAGUUGGUAGAUGCUUUCCUACUGCAUUAGAGUUACCCUAUAUGUUGAGAGUAGAUGAUGUAUAGGGAGUGAGGUAUAUUUUGAGAAAAAUGUAAACUUUAAGUUUAUGCUUUGGAUGAAUGUAUAGUUAUGUUGAAAUUAAAUGUAUUUGAGUUGAAUGGAUGUAAUAGCUUAGUAUCUCUCUUUUAUUCACUUGUUUAUUACUUGUGAUGCUUGCUCUUGAUUGUUUAGCACUGGUUGUGCUCUCGUCGCUGUUGUUGCAUGAUUGUGUAUGUAAUCAAGUUGUUUUCCUGGGAACUUAUUGUACACAAUCUCGUUUGAGCCUUGGGCGGACAGGGGAGGUGCUGUCCGUUCGGCGGUCCACCCGCCGCGCCCGAAUCGUGCCAAACCGGUAGCGGCCUUGGGGCGGGGGCGUGACACACACCCUUUUCGCCCAAUGAGAAAUGAUCACGAGGCAGGCGGCUUAUCGCCUGCCCCUCGAAUAAAGUCAAGAAUAGAACGACCAACCGAGGCCGAGUCAGAAGAAAAAAUGAGCAGGAGGGAGUUAGAAGACAAAAUAGCUUCCCUCAAAACGAUCAUCAAGAGAGAAAGAUAGCCCCCUAAGGAAAGGGAAGUCCAGAUGGAGAGCGAUUCUUCAGCCGAGACGGCCAAGGAGUUGGAAGAAAAGAAACAGAGAAUUAAAGGAAAGUCAGCCGAAGAGUCACCGGCUGAGGUGAAUAUGGUAUAUGCUCUGCCUCAAUCUUUUAAAGCAGAGCUUAUCGAGUAUGAAGAGUUCAAAGAAGAGGAGGAAGAUGGGCUUAAAGUAGCCCAGUUGCAAUUGGAAGAUGUUCAACCAGCCGAUGCAGUGGUUUUUGAGAAACCAUCGGGUAAUGCAGACGAGAUUCAUAAGGCCUCUCUUUAUAAAGGCCUUAAUUGAAGGUCGGCCAGUAGGCCGAGUUAUGGUAGAUGGCGAAGCGAUGGUCAAUGUCAUGCCCACUGCAUUCUUCAAGAAGCUGGGCAAAGAUUAAGAUGAGUUGAAACCCACGGACACGAUCAUGACCGACUUUACUGGGAACGGUCAGCAAGCUCGAGGGGUGCUUACGACCAAGAUCACGGUAGGUUCUAAAACUUUACGAACGACAUUCUUUGUGGUUGAUGCAGAUAGUCAAUAUAACCUACUACUCGGGCGUGAUUGGAUUCAUGCAAACGAGUGCGUGCCUUCUACACUCCACGGGAAACUUUUCCAAUGGGUCGGAGAUAAAGUUGAAGAAAUCCGGGCCGAAGGACGGCCCCAAAUGGUGGACAUCAACACUGAAGAAAUCGGCCAUAUCAAUUGGGCCGAUGCGGAUCCAGAUCAAAUUUCCUUCGUAAGAGUUACAGAAGAAGGAGUCCAGUUGAUCUUUACUAGAGAAGAAGGGGCUUUGGUAGCAGCCGAUGAGCCGCCGAAGUGGUUAAAAUGAAGUCCGAAAAAUCAAGAAUAGAGGCUUGUCAAGAGCCUCGACAGGAUAAGCCAAUCAACAAGAUCGACUAUAAGGAAGAUUCGGCUGCCACAGCCGAUGUGUUAAUACUUGAUGACUCUGCUAGUAAAGCCAAAGAAGUCAUAAUAGAUUCGGUUUGCAGGACCGAAAAAGAAAAUCAAAUGAAGUCGGUCACCAAGACCGACAAGUCAUGCGAAAUGAAUAGGCAAGCAAAAGAAUUGGAUCUAGAAGAAUCGCCUAUCAAAGUCGGUGAGAAAAAGUUGGAGACCCAAGACCCGCUGAUCGAAGUAAAUUUGGGAUGCGACGAAGAUAAGAGACCGACGUAUAUAAGCGCAAUGCUUUCGGCUCGACAGCAGAAGGAGCUGAAAGAACUAUUGAAGGAGUACAAGGACUGCUUCGCCUGGAGCUAUGAAGAAAUGCCUCGGUUAAGUCGAGAAAUUGUAGAGCAUAGGCUACCCAUUAAAAAAGGGUUUAAGCCUUUUAAACAACCGGCUCGUAGGUUUGAGCCGAGUAUUGUACUCCAAAUUAAGAAUGAAAUAGAAAAUCUUUUGAAGGCCGGAUUUAUUAGAGCGGCCCGUUAUGUUGAUUGGGUGUCUAACAUAGUUCCAGUACGAAAAAAGAAUGGUAAACUUAGAGUUUGCAUUGAUUUCAGGAACUUAAAUUUAGCCACACCAAAAGAUGAGUAUCCCAUGCCAAUAGCCGAUAUGUUAGUAGAUUCGGCUUCCGGUAACGAGGUCCUGUCCUUUAUGGAUGGACAUGCUGGUUAUAAUCAAAUUUAUAUUGCUAAGGAAGAUAUGGCUAAAACGGCUUUUAGGUGCCCUGGUUCGAUUGGAACUUUUGAAUAGGUUGUUAUGCUAUUUGGCUUAAAGAAUGCCGGAGCUACUUACCAGAGAGCAAUGAAUUUUAUUUUCCAUGAUUUAAUAGGCAAAAUUUUGGAAGUAUACAUUGACGAUAUAGUCGUAAAAUCCAAGUCGCAAGCCGAACAUUGGAUUGAUUUAAAGCUCGCAUUUGAAAGAAUGAGGAAAAAUAAUUUGAAAAUGAACCCUUUAAAAUGUGCUUUUGGAGUUUCAGCAGGAAAUUUUUUAGGAUUUUUAGUGCAUAAAAAGGGAUCAAAAUUGAUAAAAACAAGGCGAAAGCAAUAUUAGAAUUACCGCCGCCAAAAAGCAAAAAAGAAUUACAAAGUUUGUUGGGGAAGAUUAAUUAUCUUCGGCGGUUCAUAUACAACUUGGUCGGAAAAAUUGGGGUUUUUACUUCAUUACUUCGGCUUAAAGACAAAGAAGAAUUCGUUUGGACGGAGGAACAGCAAGAGGCGUUUGAAAAUAUAAAAAAAUAUUUAUCGAAUCCUCCGGUACUAGUGCCUCCAAAGCCAAAUCAGCCGAUGAAGUUGUACAUAUCGGCUGCAGAGGAGAAUUUGGGAUGUUUGCUAGCCCAGGAAAAUGAAGAAAAAGAAGAACAAACCAUUUAUUAUCUAAGCCGACGUUUUUUAGAUAUUGAGAAACGGUAUUCGGCUAUUGAAAAAUUAUGUUUGGCUUUGUAUUAUUCAUGCACAAAGCUAAGAUACUAUAUUUUACCGACUGAGGUGUUGGUAAUAUGCAAAACCGAACUGGUAAAGUAUAUGUUGGCCAAACCUGUAUUAAGGGGUCGACUUGGAAAAUGGAUGUUGGCUUUGUUGAAUUCUCCCUUAAUUAUAUUCCAGCUAAAGCUGUUAAAGAACAAGCGAUAGCUGAUUUCUUGGCUGAUCAUCCACGUGUGGAAUUAGAAGAACCGAAGCAAAAUUUAGUCGGUUGUCAGUCUUGGACACUUUAUUUUGACGGCUCAAGAACAGCCGAAUCAGCAGGAGCUAGAAUAGUUAUCCAAUCUCCUGAAGGGUAUUCAUGCCAAUUUGCUUUCAAGCUAGAUUUCGGCUGCUCUAACAAUCAAGCCGAAUAUGAGGCCUUAAUAAUUGGCCUAGAAAUUUUACAAGAAUUGAAAGCAAAGUCAAUCAAAGUCAUCGGUGACUCACAAUUAGUAAUCAAAGAAGCGAAUGGAGAAUACCGAUGUGAAAACCUAAAUUUACAAAACUAUUUAAGGAAGGUAUUAGAGUUACUAUGUGAAUUCAGAGAGACUGAAUUCAAAUAUUUAAGCAGACAGAAAAAUGAAAAGGCUAAUGAACUAGCUCAGUUGGCUUCAGGAUAUAGAGAGCCGAAGUUGGAAUCAAUAGUAAUACAGAGGAGGUUGCUACUUUCGGUGCACAUACGAGAACCGAUUAUAGCUCCCAUAGAAGUAAAGGAAGAUUGGAGAGAAUUAUUAAUCAAAUAUCUGGAGGAUCCUAAUACAAGGGUCGACUAUAAUAUUCGAAGAAGAGCUCUCGGCUAUUGUUUAUUAGAUGGUCAACUUUACAAGAGAACAGCCGAAGANAAUUAUUAAUCAAAUAUCUGGAGGAUCCUAAUACAAGGGUCGACUAUAAUAUUCGAAGAAGAGCUCUCGGCUAUUGUUUAUUAGAUGGUCAACUUUACAAGAGAACAGCCGAAGAGGUUCUAUUAAAGUGCUUAGGACCUGAAGAAGCUCUGUUGAUAAUGGGAGAAACACAUGAAGGAAUAUGUGGAACCCAUUUAGCCGGAAAAAAGUUAAGAUGGACAAUUCGGCACUUACGAUAUUAUUGGCCAACAAUGCAUCAAGAUUGUGUAGAAUAUGCCAAAGGUUGUCAAGAUUGCCAAUUUCAUGGCUCAAUCCAGAGAGUUCCAGCCUCUGAGAUGUAUGCAAUCAUUAAACCAUGGCCUUUUCGAGGAUGGGCCAUGGAUUUAAUUGGAGAAAUUCAGCCGAACUUCUCGGCUAGUCACAAAUUUUUAAUAGUGGCUGUAGAUUAUUUCACUAAGUGGGUGGAAGCAAAACCCACUCGGUUGGUUACCCAAAAAAAAAUUAUUGAUUUUGUUGAAGAUCAUAUAAUUCAUCGCUUUGGGAUUCCCGAGACAAUUACGACCGAUCAAGGGACAAUGUUCACAGGUGGACAGUUCGUUCGGUUCAUUGAGUCUCGAAAAAUAGAAUUGCUCCAUUCAUCUCCUUAUUAUGCCCAAGCGAAUGGACAAGUAGAAGCAGCGAAUAAAAUAGUCAUCAACCUGAUGAAACGACACAUCGGAAAGCAUCCAAGAAAAUGGAAUGAAAAACUUUCCGAAGUAUUAUGGGCAUGCCAAACUUCAGUGAAAAUGGCAACAGGGAUGACACCGUUCCAGUUAGUUUACGGACAUGAGGUUGCAUUUCCAGUCGAGAUAACAGUUCCUUCUUUGAGGACAGAAAAGCAAAAAGAUAUGUCGGCUGAUGAAUACAGUAAUUAAAUGAAGGACAAAGCAGAGGAAGUAUGUGAUACUCGGUUGAUAGCUUUAGAUAAUAUGCAAGCAUACCAAAGACGAGUGCGUAGCGCAUACAAUAAGAGAGUUUGAUCAAAGACAUUUGUCGUCGGUGAUUUAGUACUUCGGCUGGUUUUUCCAAUCGGUCAAAAAGACCGAACGUAUGAAAAAUGGUCUCCAAAUAGGGACGGGCCAUUUCAAGUCAGUCGAAUCACAAGAGGAAAUGCUUAUUAUUUGCAGAGCAGAGAUGGGUCAGAAAAUGAAAAACCAAUUAACGAAAAAUAUUUAAAGAGAUAUUACCCAUCUAUGUGGGAAAAUAAUCAAAGUCAAAGUUAGAAUAUUACAAGCCGAAUCAAGAUAAUAAGUCUCUAAGUUGGUUCUAUUCGGCUAUAAGAUUAGCUUGAGCGGUUUCGGCAGCUUUUCGUCGGCGUUUCAUUAAAGGAUGCAUCUUAUAGAGCUGAGAGAGCUCUUCUUGAAUUUUCAUUCCUUUUUCUCUCGUAGAUUUCAAUUGUUCCGCCAGUUGGAGUCGGCGUUCAGAAGUUUGCGCCAGAGUAGAUUCGGCUGCAGCCAAUUCUUUUUUGAGAGUGGAUAUGCGUUGCCGUAAAGCCAAUUCUUGAUUUGCCAGAGACUGAUCUUCACGGUUCACUUCAGCAAUGGGAGCCUCUACAUCAGGAAUAUUCCUUCUGAAGUGAUCAACACGAUGAAAAUGUUGAUCUAAAGCUACAAGCUCGGCGCCCAGAGAUCGUUGCUGAGCCAAAUAAGAAGAAAGCUGAGAUGAUAGUGUUGCUACAAAACAUUGAAUAUUAGGAGUAAUGUCUGAUUGAUCGGCUAAAUCAAGUAAAAGGGCGUAUAGCCAAUCAAAUUGUUCUGGAUUCUGAGCUAGAUUAGGAACACCAGUGCUAUAUAUUUUAAGACACUCGUCAAAUUUGCUCUGAGUGUCCGAUGAUACAACAAUGGUGGAAAAGUCAUCUCCCUCAUUAGAAUUGGGGCUCGAGACCAGUAAAGAAUGGAGAUUAGCAGAUAGAGGAUCGUCAGAAAUAAGAGGAGAAGCUCCCUGGGUCGAAUGAGGAGGGACAGAAGGAGGUGAAGCGGCCUCACUUGGUAAUGGCGCCGGGCUUGCUGUUUCAACAGAUUUUUUCUUUUUCUCUAUCCCUCGUUUCUUCUCAAGACGGGCUUCUCUGCGAAGUUGUCGUUCCAUCUGUGUCUUUGAGAAAUGAGAAAAAUGGGCUCUUUCAGGAGAGGACUGUGAGUUAAAAGAAAAAGAUAAAUAGAUGAAGAAGUAUAAAAUUUGCUUACUGACGACUAACUUGACGUACCCCGAUAUCAAUUGUUUCGGUCGGGACACAGCUUUGUUCAAUGGCUGAGGAAAGCACAGUAGUUUUGUCACGCCCCGAGACCGCUACCAAUUUGGUCCGAUCCGGGCGCGUCGAACAGACGCCGGACGGACAGCACCUCCCCUGUCCGCCCAAGGCUAAACAACCGGAUCAUGUACAACAAGUUCCCAGGAAAUCAACUUGAAUACAUACAUGAUCAAAACAAUAGCGAGGGCACAACCAGUGCCGAACAUUACAAGAGCAAGCAUCACAAGUAUAAACAAGUGAAUAAAAGAGAGAUAUAACUAUCUAUUACAUCACAUUUGACAUUCAACAUUUACAUCCAUUCAACCUUUAAUACAACUUGAUUACAUUUAAGCUUCCAAAAUGAAUACAUAAUCAUAUCACAUAUAUAUAAUGCUAGCUAUCCAAAAUACAUCAUGUGUACAAUAGGAAAGCUCUACUAGCUAGCUAGGGCGCUACGCCUAGUGAUCCACCUGCUGGUCCGCUCACAGUGUGUACGCUGUACCCCCAAAACCCACACGGUGGUGAGAACACCUAUAAAAUAUAGUUCCGAGUGGGUUCGGCGCCGACGUCCCGCCGAUCUUCCCACAAGUCUCAGCUGGCACACGAUAGAUAGAUAGAAGGAAAUAUAGAAAUAAACUGCUACUAUACUUACUAUGCCAACCAAAUGCAAGAAUGCACCUGCAACAUCAUUUAUCCUGCUAGAAUGCUUUAAACAAUGAACUAUAUACAAUACAAUCAUAGUUAUGCAGUGUUACUUGUCUAAAUCAGGUAUGAAAUGGCGAAUGCCACCUUAUACAGGUUCAUGUCUUUUACCCAAUCCACUAGGGCCCCGCGCAUCUUGCUCAAAUCAACAUAGGGAAGGACAUACCCCCGCCCUUGUUCACCGUCCACAACUCUAAACUAUAAGUAAAGAGCUAUCUACCCCGCACCUUACCCGACUUAGAUUCACAGUCUAUAGGUGAAGGAGUACCCCCGCUCUCCGCCAACUCUGACCAAAUGCCUAAGGCAAGAGCUACCCGCUCUCGCCCCGACUCUAACCAAACUCAUAGCUCAAGAGCUACCCCCUCGUGGUAAACGAGCUACCCUCACCAACAAAACACACCUCGUAAGGACAGAGCUACCCCGCUCAUAGUAAAGAGCUACCCCACCACACGCUCAUCGGUAAUGGAGCUACCCCGCCAAAUCUCCACAUGGUGAAGGGCGCCCCCCUCCGCUCCGACUCACUUCCCCCCAGUUCCAAUGUGUGGAGCUACCCGCCUCUAUCCACCGAUGAGCUACGCCGCUCGUGAAGCUACCCCGCUCGUGUGAACUGAAACUGAGGAUACCCUGUCAACUAGGUAACCUCACUUGAUCAAUCCACCUAUCGCCUAGGUCCAUGUCAAGUGCUCAACCACACUAAAUCUCGAUUUGGCCACUUCAACCUAUGUCAAUCACAACUCUAGUUCCACAAUACUAGAUUACAUGUUCAACCGUCUAUGUUUAACAACCAUUAUGUUCAAUGCCACUCGAUCUAUCCUAAGGUUCGCGAACACUAGUGUUAGAUGCCACAUCCUCAUAAAACAAUUAGGUAACAGUUCAUUCAUGCUAGGCAAUAUACUAUGUUCUAUAAAGCCAACAUGCACAAUAAUGCUAAUAUGCCAUUAUCGACAGCAUGCAAUCCUUUCAUAAUGCUACAUCAUACAAUCUCCAUUACACUAGUUUCACAAUUCACUAGUUAUGUCAAGCUCCAAAGUCUUUAUUUCUUACAUCAUAGGAUCUUCAUGUUCAACCUAAUCAUCAUGCAUCUAAGAUUUAAGUUGUCAAGGCUCUAAUAACUACACAACGAGACCAGCAUACAAGAAAUAUGAGAAAUGGUAACAUACCCAUAUAGCCUAUAAUGCAAUAGGAAUCAUAUAUAUGAAUAUGAUCAAACUAUUUUACUCGGACAUCGAGGAAGCCCGAUGCUUUCGGAUAGAAACCCCCACCCUUUAGGUGAUGUCACGACCCACGAUUAUCGAUUUUCGCGAUUUUAGGAAGCUUCGGCCGCGAGCUGCGCAAUCGUACCUCACAAGCCUUUUCUCAUUCUUGUGUACCGGCUCGACGAAUCGGCCGAACCGACUCGCCCACGCGUCAUACAUACCUAAAUUAGGUUUACGGGGGUCAAUUAAGAUCAAAACCCUAUAUUUCCAAAAAUUCCAUUUUGACGCCCUAGGUUGCAAUUAGAUAAAAAUCCACCAUUCGGCUUUGGAUUUAAGCUUUGAUCAUCUACUUAGUGCACAAAGAGGUCCUACUAAAAUCCAUUAUAAGGAUUAAAACCCAAGCUCUAGUGAUUACAAAAAUUUAUUUUAACAUCAAGCUAACACUCUAUUGCUUAGCUCCAACCAAGGAAGAAGAUGAAGAAUGUGAAAGUCUCCACCUUCUUUGACCUUUCCUCUUCUUCUUCUUCUUUUUCUUCUUCUCCUUCUUUUCUCUUCUUCCCUUUCUUCUAUUUGUCGUUAGAGAGAGAGAGAGGGAAAGAGUAAAUGUGAGGAGGUGAGGAAAUGAGAGAAAAGACGAGAGAAAAUCUCUCUUAAUCCCCUCUUCAUAUUGUAACAUUCACAAUAAGCCCCUUCUUACUUCUCUCAACCUUGCAACAGCCAAACUGGGUGUUUUUCCUCGCGCCUGGGCCUGGUCCUGCGAUGAGGAGACCGGUCCCAGAAAGGCCAGAAUUUCAGCAUGUUUCCAGACUUAGCCAAAUUUUCAGCUUUUUCACCGGUUUUAAGCUUCCGUUUUCGCUCGUUUGACCUUCCGAUUCCUUUUCAAACGAACCGAGACUCUCCAACAGUUUUCGAGAUGUUUUCAUCAUCUAUUCAUCCCCGCUAAUGCCGGAUUUAGUUCAUGUUCCGACAUAGCCUUUCGGGUCCCGUUUCCGCGCCUACGCGCACCGAAUCGCCCGGAUGCCUCCGAACUUCACCGAACUUCACCGGAACCCUUCAAAUGGCUCUCUAACCAAAUAUACACCGUAACUUCAUGAUUCUAGAAGUCCGGUACCUUACAAGUUUCCUCUAAUAGAACAUUAGCCGAAGGUAUAUCUUCGGUUCUUGUUUCUGGAAUCGAGGCCGAAGGCCUAUCUUCAGCUUUGUCUUCUAAAAUGUCAGCCGAAGGAGCAUCUUCGGCUCGUCGAAAUUGUCGUUUAGCAACUGAUUUACGCCGUUUUGAAGUCGGCGGAGGAGUAACUUGUACAGUUUCAAUCAGUCUCUUAUCUGAAGUUGGGAUCGAUGAAGGAGUGGGUAUAGACUGACAAUGAAAAUAAAGUGAGUAUUACAACAUCAAAAUAGAAAAAACAAAGGAGGAAUAGAAUAGAAAACAUUACAGAGGAAGGAGGCGAAGAUUCAGCAGCCUCUUCUGAUUUUUCUUCUGAUAUGGACGGCUCGGCAGGGCUUUCUGAUUGAGUCUUACUUGGGAAAGGAGCUACAAAUGAAAAACAAAUAAGUAGCAGUAAUCAUAAGCAGAAAAUUAAUUUCAAAAGAGAUAACGUACUAAGAGGGUGACGAGUCUUGUGAUGUGCAUGCGAGAUAACAGGGGCGAAGGUUUUCUUGAGGAAGAUAUCCCAAUUUACAGUGUAGCGAAAACCUAACACUCCGGUAUAAUUCGGCCUGAAGCUGACCAAUUUGAAAAAUCGCCGCAGACGGUUUCCCAUAGCCGAAAUCUGAUCGGCGUCAGCUAUACUCUUGGUAGGCGGGCAAUGAGUGGCAGUAUUAGCCGUGAAAAAUUUGGUCGGAGUAGGAACGGCCUGUGUAAAGCCGAAUUGGCGCGCCACAAACUGUGGAGAGUAAACCUCGGUACUGGGUAAUAACUUCGAGCGCGAUUUCAAGCCAUGUGCAAGUCCCGAGGAGCCAAAAAAGAAUACCAAACAUCAAAAUACUCGUCAGCACGAGAAGAGGCGAGUUCCCCUUGAAGUGAUUCAUAUCUGGCUAAAAACCAAGGGGGCCAGUGACUCGAUCAGCAAAAGGGGACCAAUAAAUAAGAAAGUGAGGGCUCGAAUCAUAAAAAACGGAAAAAUAAGUGAGAAAGUCUAGAGGAUGCCCAGGUGUAAACGGUGGAGGACAAGCGAGAGCAAGUCCAUAGGAGUCAAAAUGAGCAGCCGAGCUCAAAUCUAAAGGUUCUCGGCACAGCCUACUGAAAUAAAUUUACAAAAGCAUUUGCAAAAAUCAAAAAACGUCGCACCCCGAGCCAAUGGUGACACCAUCACCAGUGGGUGACGGCCUAAUGGAAUCAAAAAUUUCCCUGUAAACAAAAGCAAGAAAAUAAGGCCCCAGGGCCAAUUUAUCGCCGUUAGAUAAACCAACGGCGAUGGAAACAAAAUCUCGAUUAAUUUUCUGCGAAUGAGUGCAGAAAAAAUUAUGACAUAACCAGUACAGAAGGAAUGCUGUAUGUUCCUUCUUAGUGACUGGAGCAGGGGAUUCACCUGCAAAUUUACGGAGAAAUUUGGAGUAGGCCAAAUCAUUGAGAUCAAGAUUGGCCUCAAAAUCAGAUACACCAUCAGGGUUAUAAGCCAUGGAAAGGGUGACGCCAUGAGGGCGUAGGCCGACAAUGGCGGCGACAUCAAAAAGAGUUAGGGUGAGAGGGCCGCCUCUAAAAAGAAAAACGUUAGAAAUAGGGGACCAGAAACAAAGGGCGGAAGCCAGAAGAAGAAAAUCAGCUAUAGGAGGUUUUCGGGAUAACUGAAUGGCUUCAUAGAUACCAGUUUCUCGCCACAAAUCGCCAUAAGUGGCUUGCACACGAUCCAGCCAAGCCAAGUAGGCGUCUGAGAUACUAGGCCAGGUUCGAAGACUUCUUCCCGUCGAAGCCGAAGGGUACCAUGAAUGAAGAUGGAUAUUUUCAGCCAUCAACGGAAGACCUUCAUUAGAAAACAGGAAGUCAUCAGUAGAUGGGUCUUCGGUAAAAGAGGGACCCAAGAUAAACCUAACAGGGUUUGAAUCAAGAUAUGGGCUAAGCAAAGUAUAGUCCAAUGAGGGACGAGUAGGCAAUGGCGGAAGAUGUGCCAUUCUUUGAAACGAAGGAAGAUAAAGAAGACGACAACAAGAGGCGAAGAAGAGUUUUCGUCAGAGAAAACGAAAAGAGAUAAAAGGAAUAGAAGAGACAAAAAGAAUGAGAAGCUUGGGGAAGAAAAAAAGGCCGUCGUAUAGAACUAUCGCGUCAAAGUGAGUUUCGAGGUCGGCUAUAAUGAUGAAUAGACGGCGGUAAUUAAGAUGACCUAGUUAAUGCCGCAGAUAAGACAAAAUGAGGAUAGAGAUCGGGCCGUAACAAAGAAAAUAAACGGCUAAGAUUAAACCAUACAGAGGGUCACGCCUCGAAUUACGUCUGGUACUAGUACAGAGAUUUUGAAUGUGAUUGGAUCGAGAAUGACGCCUCGAACUGCGCUUGUUAUCGAAGCAAUUACAGGAUUUCGGCAGCGAAAAAAGGGGACGGCUGAGAUGAAACCAUCGUGUUUCAGAUCACGUCAGCUAUCGAAGUGUUACUUCAAAAGCUGCCAAUGGGGCAAUUGUUGAGCCAAUUAGGCGCGGAUGAGAUUUAGGUGUGAAUGUUCCCUUCAAAAGCAUCUAUUGGGUCGUGUAUCGGGAGCACCGGAAAAAUGUAUCGCGCUAAUUGAAGGAAGUUAUGAUAACCGCAAGCAGUUACAUGCGGUUCCGAUUGGCUAGAAGUGGUCCGAAAUAUGAGGAGAUAGAUCGUGUAAGAACAAUAACUGACCGAGGGGGGCUAUCUAUAAAUAGGGUAAUAAUACCCCAAAAAGAGGUCUUCGCCCCUGCGCACAAAAGACCACCUUUAUUUUCCUCCAUCUUUCUUUCUCGCAUUUACUGCUUUUCCUAGGAGUAGUCCCUGUAACUUAGAUAUUUGGAGUCUGUCUGCCCCAUGGGCAUCACUCCCUUGUAGAAUAUAUUGGGAGUCUGUCUGCCCCACGGGCAUCACUCCCCUGUUCUUGUACUCUUCCAUUCCCUAUUCAAUAGAAAGUCACGUUCGGCUAUUCGGGCCGACCAGAUUUUGUGUUGUGCUAGCCAUUCGGCUCAUCUCCCGGCUUAAUUUUCGACUUUCCCCGCACAUUCGGCUCAUCCAGCUGAACCAGAGAGUGAAAAGAGCUUUCGGACCCGGCUGAUUCGAUCCCUCAUCAGCCGGAUCGCUUGAUCCAGUCGAAGGGCGCAAACUUCGAGGGUCACUAUCCGCAGCCGUUCCUCAUCCUAACCUGCUCCACGAGGAGGAUCUUUGACCGCGUCAAAGGUCGGGAAAUUCGGCUACCAACAAUAGUGGAAUAGAUUAACUUGUUUCCAUUUAUUAUUGUUCUCUUGGGAGAACUAACGAAUACAUGGCAAUUUUACAUAUUCCAGGCAAAAACGACCAAGAAAAUUGUGUUGAAGCUGCAAUGUUAGAGUUGCAAACAUUACUCGCAGCACCCAAUUAAGGUUUUCUACUUUUAGUUAUAUUUGUUUUUGUUUCAGUGUGCUGCUUAUAUUAUCUGUUUCUUGAGUAGUUAGUUAACUUUGGUAUAUUGUUAUGUAGAGAUGCAAGCCCUUUGAGAUUGGUGGAGACAAGAAAGGGAAGGGUACAUCUCUUUUCUAAUUUGUUGGGCAUCUCCCAGUUUGUUACUUUAUUGCCUUUGCUUUUUCCCUUAAAUGAACAAGUAUUAAGGGAAGUUCCUUUUUAAUUAUUGAUGUCAUUUCAAAUUCUUGUUUAAUGAAUAUCGGCACCAAUAAUUAUAGUUCCCUUCUAUUUUGUUGACAACAGUUGGUGCAUCCUCUAAUAGUCAGGAUAAAAAAAAUUCGCAGCUUAAACCAUUUAGUUUUCUACUGCCGAGAAUUGUGUCUUAAGCUCAAAUAAAGAGCAUUUUUCAUAAUUUUAAUUACCAACCAUGCAGUGAGCUAGUAGAAAACAUUUUCUAGUUAUAACCGUAUGGUUGCUUGUGCUGGAUCUUUCCUUCUUCACCUACUAAUUUUUUUCAUAUAACAUUAAUUAGUGCAUCAGUAACUUUGUUGAGAGGCGGUUAAUCAAGUGUUGAUGAUUAUUAUGAUUAUAAGUGUGGUUGUUUUCAAUAGCUGUUAUUUUUUCAGUAUUCAAGAUGAAACAAUGUGAGCUAACAUACAUUAGUUAGAGCAGCUUAUUUGUGGCUAAAUGAGAUCCUGAAGUUGUGUUGUAUUACUACAAUAUAUGCUUAUGUAUGAAGAAAUGAGAGUGAGAGACCAAAGCUGAUUCAGUUUCCUAAAUCAUGGAUGCCGGCUAAACAAAUUUUUCGCUUACUGCUUUAGUGAAUAAACCAAAUUAGUUACUAAUGUAACUCCCAGCAUUUAGCCUAGUUGGAACAAAUUGGAACUUGUUAGAAGCACAUUUAGCCUAGUUGCAGCUCGUGUAUAGCAACAAAAUUUUCAGAUUAUUUGCUUUGCAGGUUUUAGAAUCAUGAUUAGGUUAAAAAGGUUAAGAGAUAGUGAGAUUAGAAGCAACGAGGCACAAAAUAGUUGUAAUGAUUCGACGCCUAUCUCACAAUCAAGAUCGUCAAAUACUAUGAAGAAUCUGAUUCAACACAAGCUGCCUCACAUCUUGAAUCCUCACAGAACCAACCUUAUAUUCAAGAGACAAUUGAAGUUGAAAGUACAGAUAUACUAGAGAUAAUUGGUAAUUUUUUCCUAUCUUGCUAUGUUAUUCAACUAUAUGCUAGUUUGAUAUUAUUGUGGUUCUAGUGUUGUUAUUUGCUUCGUGUGUGUAGAUACUGAGGGAAGGAUAAAAAAGAAACGUGGAAUCCAGCAUGCUAAAGAUGUGUGGAAUUUACAACAAGUAAUCAUGAAAGGAGAAUGAAUUGAUACAUAGAGGGUUUAAAACAAUACAUGGGAAAGAGCCCUUUUUUGUAAUUUUGUUCAUGUAGACAUUUCAUAUGCUAUGGUAUGAGUUUGCAUGAAUUUUUAAUUAGGUAAUUCUUUUGUGUGCAAACGAAUUGUUAUCUCAUGAAUAAUUUUGUUGUGUAGAUUUAGUACAUUCGCUAUGGAUGUAAACUAAUAUUUUUUAAUACCAAUCAUAGUAAAUUUUGGUUAUUGUGAUCAACUUUAUUGAUAUGCAAAUAGAUAAAUAAUUUUUUUAUUACUAUGUUGAAAUAUUUGUUGAUUGCAACCAAAAUUAAAAAAAAAAAUCAGAAAAAGAUAAAUUUCUGAAGCUUCAAAGCGUCAGGAAUUUUGAAGAGUCAGGAAAUUAAGAACAAUGGCAGGACACUUUAAAGCGUCGUGAAUUCCUGAUGCUUCAAAGCGUUUGGAAAUUGAGGGAACCGUCAGGAAAUUGAAAAGUAUGACGUUAAAGAUUUUCAACAUAAUGACGCGCAUAGAAAUGUCAAGAAUUUAUUUUGAUGUUCUUGACGCUUUUAAGCGUUAGAACAUUUUAUUCCACGAUGCUUAAAAGCGUCGAAAAAUAUUUUAUCGACGCUUUGUUAAAGCGUCGGUAAAUACGUGGUGACUCUUCAUUUGUUGACGCUUUUACCGACGCUUCGUAAUGCGUCGGUAGAUUUUUUAGGGACAUUUAAAAGCGUCUCUAACUGUUCAAAAAAGGGUCCUUAAAUGCUAUAUUUUUUAUAGUGUACGUGUUGUGGCUGCUGUUGGCAGCGUGUGCGGGUAGUGGGUAACCUCUAGACUAGUUGUCCAAGGCCCCAAGCCUUUCCGGAAAUCAAAUUGUUGAUUACCGGUGCAUUUUUCGGCGAAAUCCGCCGACGGAACGUGUUUUCGGUUCGGAAUCCUUCCGAUGGUACCUCGUGAUAAAUUGUUAUGUCGCUGAGCCUUGUUGGCUGGUCACCCGCGUCGUUUCGAGGGUUCGGAAAUGACGGGUGAGCGACGGUGGGUUCUGGUGUCGAAAUUGACACUUCCGGAAAUCCGAAUCGGAACGAUUAUCCGGCGAUAAUCGUUUCGAUGUGAGGCGAUGUAUUUGCUGCCAAGUCCCAUGAAUAAUGGUGUUUAGUGGCAGCGGGUGACUCGUAGUAUGAGUCGGUGAGUUCCCGGACAGUUUGUGAGUCCCGGUAAAGUCCCGGUGCGAUUUUUGGGACAUCUAGCGUGUUCGGCAAUCGAUUUUGGGAAACCUAUUCUCGUAGAUUUGUUGGUGGGGUGUAAGGAGUUGAAUUCUCGAAAUUCGAGAGUUGUACUUCGUCCGGGAUCGACUAAUUGUCGAGUGGGUAGGCUUCGAAGGAGCUAAAGAUGUCCAAAACACAAAAAGUGCUUUGGAGUCGAGUCCACGAGAGCAAAUGAUGCAAAAUCUGCACUUGGCAGAUUCUGCUCUCGGGGACCGGUCCCUAGCGGCGGGGACCGGUUCCCGUAAGCAGGAAUUCUUGCAGAGGGGAGGUCUGCACAAAACUGCUCUCGGGGACCGGUCCCUCCCACGAGGGACCGGUCCCCGUAGCCGAGGGUUGCGGUAGACGCCCGAUGCAACCGGUCUCUCGGGCAAGGACCGGUCCUCAAGGGUCCAGUCUCUCGAGUAAGGACUGGUUCCCGUACGCGUGUUGCGGGGAAUUGCUCUCGGGGACCGGUCCUCCCGUUGAGGGACCGGUCCCUCCACGCAAAAAUUGCCCAGGCAGGGCAGGUUGAGAGAAGUAAAGUGGAGGGGCUUUUAUGCAAAAUGCCAUAAGUUGAGGGGUAUAGAGGGGCCGAGCCUUCUCCUCUCUCUCAUUCUCACCCUCACUUUCACUCUCUCUCUCUCUCUCACUAAACUCUUUCUCUCUCUCCCUCUCUUGAACAAGGUAGAAGGAGAAGAAUAAGAGGAAAAAGAAGAAGGAAAGAAAGGUGGAGAAGAAGAAGGAGAUCAAGGAGAAGGCCUUCGACACCUUCACCUCUCUCUCCUCUCCCCUUUGGUGUAGCUUAAGAGGUAAGCUCUUGAACUCUAACAAUGGUAGAACCUAGGGUUUUGGAUUUCUAGCUUUAGAAAUGGGUCAAAUGGAACCCUAGCAUGAUUAGUUGAUGCUUUAAGCUAGAAUCUAGGGAUUUAUUGGUGGUUUGCUAUAGGUGCAAACCUAGGACUCCAAAUUGGGGUCUUUGAUAAGUGAUGAGAUUGAUCUCAUUUGAUAGCUUGUAAACCUAAUUGAUAGGUGUCUAAACGCGGGGGCGAAGUCGGAAUUUCGAUUCGUCUUGCGGGUGAAAAGCUAUUGGCGAAAUAUAGCCGAUUGAGCACCGUUUUAGACCAAGGAGGCCGAGACCUCGUCGUAACGUUCUUUGGGAAGUAUUUCUAGAACCUUCGUACCAUCGAAAGGUGGGGGGUGUCAUCCCGAAGCAACCGAGCUCUUUUCUAUGUCUUAGAAAUACAUGAUUUUCAUCUCUUGCAUUUUGCAUUGUAGUACCUUUUCCUUAUGCUUCUAAAUGUUAACCUAGUAUGCAUGGAAUACUUGGUGAAAUGGAUAGGUAAGGAUUGGGUCGAAAUAUGGAUCCUAUAGUGCCAAAAGAAAGAGAUAAACUCGAUGGUUAUUCAGUGACAUAGAGAGUGGCAUUAAUGUAGUGUACUUGACACUAGAGGUUCAUGAACUUAGGGAUAGGUGGAUUCCCUAGUAAACGAGUCGUGAACAAUGAACUUAGUAUAGCUAAGUAAUUAUGCAUGAAUGUCGGAAUAGAUGAGUUUCGAGAGAAUGUUGGCCGUAGUUCGUAGGGUAUCCUCAUGUGGAGAGGAUAGAUCAAGCUCACGGUCUGUUAUUCGGGAUGGUAAAGCCAUCCAUAUCCUCACAUUGAGAGGAAUUGUCGUCGAGUACUCCGGAGUGUCGGGCGAUUAGGAUAGAAUUGAUGUCCGCAGACAGUCCCGGGUUCGGGGGCACAUGGAGUCUCCUUACCCAAUGGGAUGGAUAUGUGAGGCGUAGUCAAACCCAAGGGUUUCGCCACAGAUUGGGUAAAUGAAAAGUUAAUAUUGUCAUCGAACAUUUCUUAUCGAAUAUGGAUCGAACUUGUUAGCAUGAUAGUAAACUUUUACUAAAUGAUGCAUGCAUUCAUUUCACAUGAUUAUGGGUAUAGUAGUAUAGUUUUCUUAUUAUAUUUUUACAGCUUCGAUAUAUAUAUCUAUCUGUUUCGUUGUUACUUUUGCCCACUUGGACCUAGUGGGGAGAUCGGCGGAGUCGGCGGCCGAGCCCACUGGGAACUAUGGAAGAUAGUUCUCACCCUACUUUAUUUUCAAGGCUAGGUACAGGUUUGCCGGGCGAGGACUGCGGCAAGGGCAUCGCACCCGACCAGUGAGGAUUAUUGGUAGAGUAGUAGCUUUCCUUUUGCAUUAGCACACCUAUGUAUUUGAGAGAGAUUCAUGUAGGUAAGGACUUUGGAGAGCUAUGUACUUGAUGAGCAUGUACUCAUUUUGGGAAAGAAAAUGUAAUUGUAUAAAGAAUGCAAAUAUGAUGUAAUAGUUAGUAGUUCUCUCUUUAUUUCACUUGUGUAUCUUGUGGAUUGCUUGCUCUUCGUUGUUGGCACUAUUUGUGCCCCGUUGAUCGUGUAUGUAUGAAUUUAAUUUUCCUGGGUAAAUUCUUGUACAUGAUCAAGUUGUGAGCCUUGGGCGGGCAAGGGAGUUGCUGCCCGUUCGGCGUCCGUUCGCCGCGCCCGAACCGUGCCAAAUUGAUAGGGGUUUCGGGGUGGGGGCGUGACAUGGGGAUUGUGAGUUAGCGUUUUGUAUUUAUGGGUUGGAUUCUAACCCGUUGACCCCUCGUAGGUCUGGUUGUUAUUUCCCCCGCAGUCGGAAGAUC
rnacentral:lncRNA from 1 species